GGUGCCGUAGUUCAGAAGAGUAGAACGCCAGCCUGUCACGCUGGAGGUCGUGGGUUCAAGUCCCAUCGGCAUCGCCA
rnacentral:tRNA from 1 species